GAAAUGCGAUAAGUAAUGUGAAUUGCAGAAUUCAGUGAAUCAUCGAAUCUUUGAACGCACCUUGCGCUCCUUGGUAUUCCUUGGAGCAUGCCUGUUUGAGGAUCAUGAAAUCUUCAAAGUAAAUCUUUUGUUAACUCAAUUGGUUUCUACUUUGGUAUUGGAGGUCUUUGCAGCUUCACACCUGCUCCUCUUUGUUCAUUAGCUGGAUCUCAGUGUUAUGCUUGGUUCCACUCGGCGUGAUAAGUUAUCUAUCGCUGAGGACACUGUAAAAGGUGGCCAAGGUAAAUGCAGAUGAACCGCUUCUAAUAGUCCAUUGACUUGGACAAUACUUUUAUGAUCUGAUCUCAAAUCAGGUAGGACUACCCGCUGAACUUAAGC
rnacentral:misc_RNA from 1 species